rnacentral:rRNA from 1 species
GACGAACGCUGGCGGCGUGCCUAAUACAUGCAAGUCGAACGCAGUGGGGACGGGUGAGUAACACGUGGGUAACCUCCCAUCAGAGGGGAUAACACUUGGAAACAGGUGCUAAACCGAUACUGAUGGAUGGACCCGCGGUGCAUUAGCUAGUUGGUGAGGUAACGGCUCACCAAGGCCACGAUGCAUAGCCGACCUGGGAGGAGGUGCGGCAACACUGGGACGUAGAAACGGCCCAGACUCCUACGGUAUGCAGCAGUAGGGAAUCUUCGGCAAUGGACGAAAGUCUGACCGAGCAACGCCGCGUGAGUGAAGAAGGUUUUCGGAUCGUAAAACUCUGGUGUUAGAGAAGCGGUAUCUAACCAGAAAGCCACGGCUAACUACGUGCCAGCAGCCGCGGUAAUAC